AUGAGCAUGACAGUUCAUUGGCCAUUUUUGAAUCAAACUGAACUUAAGGGCAGUGGCCAGCUUGAUAAGCAAUGCAAUUCUGACCAAAUAACUAAUAGUUCAAGAGCUAGAAUUCAGCUUACAGUAAUGAAUCAUGGUCUAUUCUCACACACGACAUACAGUCAGCAGCAUGGGAUCUUCCUUCUUCAGUUUGUGACGGUGCUUUGUAAGAUGAUGUCAGCGUCUGAAACGAGGUCACUUAUAUCAUUAUGGUCUCAUCAUAUAUUAUUGGAUUAUAUGUUUGAGCAGAGCAUUUGUCAUGACUGGGAAUCACUGUUCUAUUCAAAUCAGCGAACACCCCUUGCGGAUUUUGGAAUGGUGGAUUCUAGUUCAGCCAGAAUGGGUAUCCCCAUUAUAUCUCAAGUUGUUUCAAAGCAUCACUGCGUGGUUCCUAUCUGUGCAAUUAUACAGACCGACAGUGAUCAGUGCAAGCGUGAGUGGCACCCGCAAUGCUUUUUAAACAAAUGGCUAGAGGAGGUUGGAAAUGGCCAGAACAAGGCGGAUUUUGUUCCCUUGGGUUGUUAUGCGUGGGGACUGCUGAAUCCUAAUUGCUAUCAAGUCAGUAUGAACUCUUGUUUCCAUGGAUAUUCUUUUCUUUAUGGUCUGGUGCUGCUUCAGUGGGAAAUUGCUUGGACACUUCAUUUGGAGUUCUCUUCUGGUGGCAACAACUCUGGCCAACCAUUCCGUCCACCAAGCACGACAUGUGCAAAAUCAACUGGAAAACAGGAAAUUAAUCAAGGAAGGAGGGGUGACAGAGCUGAUGUUGGGUACGUUUACUGCAUCUACUACACUUGCUACUCUGAUCAAGACCCUAGUGGCCAUAACAACUACCCCGACACCUUCCAUCGGCAAGCCUCCGUUGAGCACGACUACUACCUCUGCGGCGUUGAAGUCUUCAUCAACUACGACUACCACCGUGACUACGACCAAGCCAAGCAACAUCGAGUGCAAUGGGAUCCGGGUGGUUCUCGGUGGCAUCGGCUUGGGGUCAAGCCGAAUCUCAAGGAGGGGGGAUGUUAG
rnacentral:rRNA from 1 species